CGGGUGAGUAACACGUGAGCAACCUGCCCCGAAGACCGGGAUAAGCCUGGGAAACCGGGUCUAAUACCGGAUACCCCCACCGGGCCGCAUGGCCUGGUGAGGAAAUGGAUUCCGCUUCGGGAGGGGCUCGCGGCCUAUCAGCUUGUUGGUGGGGUAACGGCCCACCAAGGCGUCGACGGGUAGCUGGUCUGAGAGGACGAUCAGCCACACUGGGACUGAGACACGGCCCAGACUCCUACGGGAGGCAGCAGUGGGGAAUCUUGCGCAAUGGGCGAAAGCCUGACGCAGCAACGCCGCGUGAGGGAUGAAGGCCUUCGGGUUGUAAACCUCUUUCAGCAGGGACGAUUGUGACGGUACCUGCAGAAGAAGCCCCGGCCAACUACGUGCCAGCAGCCGCGGUAAUACGUAGGGGGCGAGCGUUGUCCGGAUUCAUUGGGCGUAAAGAGCUCGUAGGCGGCUUAGCAAGUCGGGUGUAAAACCUCCAGGCUUAACCUGGAGCGGCCACCCGAUACUGCUAUGGCUAGAGUCCGGUAAGGGACCACUGAAUUCCUGGUGUAGCGGUGAAAUGCGCAGAUAUCAGGAGGAAC
rnacentral:rRNA from 1 species